rnacentral:rRNA from 1 species
CUGACGGAGCGACGCCGCGUGAGCGAAGAAGGCCUUCGGGUCGUAAAGCUCUGUUGUGAGGGACGAAGGAGCGCCGUUCGAAGAGGGCGGCGCGGUGACGGUACCUCACGAGAAAGCCCCGGCUAACUACGUGCCAGCAACCGCGGAAAUACGUAGGGGGCGAGCGUUGUCCGGAAUUAUUGGGCGUAAAGCGCGCGCAGGCGGUCUCUUAAGUCUGAUGUGAAAGCCCACGGCUCAACCGUGGAGGGUCAUUGGAAACUGGGGGACUUGAGGGCAGGAGAGGAGAGCGGAAUUCCACGUGUAGCGGUGAAAUGCGUAGAGAUGUGGAGGAACACCAGUGGCGAAGGCGGCUCUCUGGCCUGCACCUGACGCUGAGGCGCGAAAGCGUGGGGAGCAAACAGGAUUAGAUACCCUGGUAGUCCACGCCGUAAACGAUGAGUGCUAAGUGUUAGAGGGGUCACACCCUUUAGUGCUGCAGCUAACGCGAUAAGCACUCCGCCUG